AUUGAACGCUGGCGGCAUGCCUUACACAUGCAAGUCAAACGGCAGAACGGGAGCAAUCCUGGUGGCGAGUGGCGAACGGGCGAGUAAUAUAUCGGAACGCGCCCAGUCGUGGGGGAUCACGCAGCGAAAGCUGUGUUAAUACCGCAUACGACCCAAGGAUGAAAGCGGGGCAGCGCAAGACUUUGCCUGCUUGGAGCGGCCAAUAUCAGAUUAGCUAGUUGAUGGGGUCAAGGCCCACCAAGGCGACCAUCUGUAGCUGGUCUGAGAGGACGACCAGCCACACUGGAACUGAGACACGGUCCAGACUCCUACGGGAGGCAGCAGUGGGGAAUUUUGGACAAUGGGCGCAAGCCUGAUCCAGCAAUGCCGCGUGCAGGAUGAAGGCCUUCGGGUUGUAAACUGCUUUUGUACGGAACGAAACGGCCCUUUCUAAUACAGGGGGCUAAUGACGGUACCGUAAGAAUAAGCACCGGCUAACUACGUGCCAGCCGCCGCCGUAACAC
rnacentral:rRNA from 1 species